AUAUCUCUCUGUACGGGAAGGAUGAGAAGCUUCGACUAAGGUUCGAUUCGAGCGAAAGCGAGAAAGCGUUGCCGCAGGCAACGACCCGAAGGGCGAAGCGCGCAGCGCUGAGUAAUCCUUCCCCCACCACC
rnacentral:sRNA from 1 species